GAUGAACGCUGGCGGCGUGCCUAAUACAUGCAAGUCGAGCGAACAGACGAGGAGCUUGCUCCUCUGACGUUAGGGGCGCACGGGUGAGUAACGCGUGUAUAACGUACCUAUAAGACUGGUAUAACUUCGGGAAACCGGAGCAAAUACCGGAUAAGAUAUUGAUCCGCAUGGUUGAAUAGUAAAAGACGGUGUUGCUGGCACGUAUAGAUGGAUCCGCGCUGGUUUAGCUAGUUGGUAAGGUAACGGCUUUCCAAGGGGACGAGGCGUAGCCGGACUGAGAGGGUGAUCGGCCACACUGGAACUGGGACACGGUCCAGACUCCUACGGGAGGCAGCAGUAGGGUAUCUUCCGCAAUAGGCGAAAACAUGACGGAGCAACGCCAAGUGAGUGAUGAAGGUCUUCGGAUCGUAAAACUCUCUUAUUAGGGAAGAACAACUGUGUAAGUAACUAUGCACGUCUUGACGGUACCUAAUCAGAAAGCCACGGCUAACUACGUG
rnacentral:rRNA from 1 species